rnacentral:rRNA from 1 species
GACGAACGCUGGCGGCGCGCCUAAAACAUGCAAGUCGAACGAGAAGCCCGGGCUUGCCCGGGUGGACAGUGGCGAACGGGUGAGUAACACGUGAGGAACCUGCCCCGAAGACCGGGACAACACCGGGAAACCGGUGCUAAUACCGGAUGCCUUCACCGGAUCGCAUGGUCUGGUGAAGAAAUGGAUUCCGCUUCGGGAUGGCCUCGCGGCCUAUCAGCUUGUUGGUGAGGUAAUGGCUCACCAAGGCGACGACGGGUAGUUGGUCUGAGAGGAUGUCCAGCCACACUGGGACUGAGACACGGCCUAGACUCCUACGGGAGGCAGCAGUUAGGAAUCUUGCGCAAUGGGCGAAAGCUUGACGCAGCGACGCCGCGUGCGGGAUGAAGGCCUUCGGGUUGUAAACCGCUUUCAGCAGGGACGAAAUUGACGGUACCUGCAGAAGAAGCCCCGGCCAACUACGUGCCAGCCGCCGCAGUAA